GGUCAGAGUAAUGGGUGUCGUCAGUUCGGUUGCCUUUUCAUUUUCCUGAAGCUUGAAGGCCACCUUUUGACUAGAAACUACAUCUAAAAUGCAUGUCCUAGAACAAGAAGGGAUGGCUGUCAGAGUGGGGAUUCCAUCUUCAUCUGGAAAUCCAAGAAAGACUACAGGAAUUUUCUUCACACGGGACUUCUGGGAAGUUAAGGGAAAGGUAACCCUGGCAGCAGUUUGCUGUAUUGGCUUCUUAACGUGAUGUGGCUUUGGAAAGAUGCUUCCCUGAAGAUCUUAGCUGCUGUCCGGCUCUGCCUCUCCUAUUUGGUCAAUUUGAUGAUUGUAAAUGUGUGAGUCACAGCACUAUAUUGCUUUAAUUACCUAUGAGGAGCAUGCAUAGUAAAAUAACGUUCAAUAAAAA